GUACACAAUAAAAUGAAAUGCAUAAUUAUUGUAGUUUAAUGAUGAUUUAUAUUUAAACGAAGUAACAUGAAAAAAUGUGAUAUAAAACACUAUAUCCUGUCGUUUUCAUAAAAAAAGUGAUUUAGGCAGCGUGCACUGACACUGAUUAUCCUGUACUUUUGUUUGUUAUAAAAAACAAAUAUCAUAUAUAACACAUUCCUUUAUCAAGUAUAAGAUGUUUGUGCAACAGGAAAUAUACAAGCAAGUUCGGUCAAAAGCACAAUAAGUCUGCACUUCACCACAAAGUUAAAUAAAAAAUAUAAAGUUUUACAAUGCAACUUUGUCCUUAGUCAAAACGAUUUGCCCAGGAACAGAUAAUAUAUUUAUGAGACCAAAGAUUGUCCAUAAGACAGUACCGAAAAUAAAAUAUAUAUAACACCGUUAACCACUACUAACACAUAACACCCAGCGGCCAGCGGUGAUUUUCAGAAGGACUUGCCGAGAUCAAGCUGCGUUGGGCGGGGUACAUGAGCGCUAAGUACCCGUUGGUUGUCUGGAUCAGAACUCCGAAAAAGUCGGGGCAGAUUUUUUAAUAAACGCUCUCUUUAUAAACCGACCGCAAAUUUGAACUUUUUAUACAUACAUUCUCGCCUAAAAAGCUUUUGAACAUACACUUUGUGACACAAUAAGAGUAAUAUUUCAAACAUUAUGCAGGCGUUCUCUUCCAUUGGUGGCUGUCGUAAGUUCACACGAAUCUGCUGAUGACGUUUCACAUGGACAGACAACUACGCAUUAUUGUAUUUUUAAUUGUAUUUUUUGCGUGUGUUAUUUUUAUUUCAUUAUUAUGAAAAUCAUGAUCAUUUUUAUUGAGCCUUGGCUGGCAGUCUGUUUUGAAUUUGGUUUAUUGAAAAAACAAACACACAACGCAUAUUGUGUUGCGCCUGCGCAGUGACGUUCUUUUCCAACCGCCUUUCCAGUCAAGAGGUCAAGAAUGUUCCUGUCUGCAUCAGGUAAGAAAUUAAAUAAAAAAUUACAGUUAUAAUAUGAUAUCUAUUUUUCAUAUAGUGUAAGAAAUUUUCGUAUUAAUUGUGCAGGAGACUGUUAAUUUAAACUUUAUUAUGGUAACGUUAAAUGCUCGCUCGUUUUGCAAAGUUACGUUUGGAGAUUCAUGUUAACAGUCAUUGUUUAAUGAAAGGCACAUUGGACUACGGGUUAGUAAUAUGUGUGACACUUGCUUUCAGCACUGUAACGUAAAUCGUUAACACCGUGUCCUAAAUAGACAUGACACGCGGUAACGGGUUUCUUUUCAGUUUAUGUCCUUACGUUAUAGGAUGGAUCAUUAUAAAUUAUGCCUUUCUAUUAUCGCAACGCCUCGUCGCGUUUGGUUAAGCACAUGAUGGUGAAACAGUAUGCCAUCACUGUACCUAACGUACUGUACACCUGUGAGCGGCAUGACGAGACAAAAGACGGUAAAACUCAUUAUUAAUCGGUGAUGCUGUACAUUCUGGAUGAUGCACAGCCACAUUUUAUAAUACUGUUCUUUAUUUUUGUGUCGCGCCGCUCGCGUUCAAUAUAAAGUUAGACAAGACGGAAUUAAUUACUGGGAGAGUAACUGUAGUGGUCUAAUGGUAAGAGUCGAACUUCACGAACCUUUCACUGCUUGCAGUAAGGCUAAAGUGCUACGUGAAUAAGAUGGGUGUAGUUUUGUGCUACUAGCUGUUAAGUGUUUUUGCACUAUUGAGUUAUAAAUACUGCCCAGUAAUACUUAACUAGAUGUAAAUCACAAUUCUUGUGUCAAUGUUUGUUUGUAAAAGCUGGCACUCUCAAAGGAGAUUUUGUUGUUGGAUUAUGGUCUCAUUUGGUCAAAAAGAGGGACAUGUACCUGGAUUUAUAAAAAUGAGAUUACAGAACAUCAGACGGUAGCUUCAACAGAGUUGAAGUGGGAGGACAUCAUCAAUAAAGAAUGCCAUUGACCAAACCUUCAGUCAUCAAAGAAGAUGGAUACAGGUAAUGACAAAAUCACCAAUUAUUGGUGAAAUCUUUAAGGAAUAUCCCCAAUUUCUGGACAUGCCAGUGUUUGUAAUGUACUUAAAGGCGGAGUGCACAAUGUUUGAAAGCCAAUGUUGAUAUUUGAAAUCACCUAAACAAACACGCCCCUACCCCAAUAGAAUCUGGACCUUCUUUUAAAAGACCCGCCCCACACAUACGCAACCCGGCAAGAAUGUCGGUUAGUAGACACUCUCCUUACUGCUGAUUGGCUAUAAAUGUGUUUUGGUAGUCGGCCCGUCUCCUUUUCCAAAGCGUUUUUCAAACAUUGUGCACUCCGCCUUUAACUGGAGAUAACUUUACACAAAGUGUUUCAUAAUUCCAAUAUUAAUAUUUCUUUUUAAAUUCACUGAAGGGGGACAUCAAGUUUUCCAGACUUACCGAUGGAAAAGAAGAAAUGGGAAUGUGACAAUUAUUGAGAAACUCAGGGGAAAAGCAUCUUUAGAGAAGAAAAUGGGCAUCAGACAUUUAUUGAAGAAAGCUGACAGUCAGCAUAAUGAUGAGAGCUGUGUUAUACAAUGUUAAGGAUACUCGUUCAUCUUCUGCUGUGUGAAUUCUGCUGUGUCAGUCCUGUGGGACUUGAUGCCCGCUGGUACCAGUGUGACGUCUUUGCUUACUAAAUGAUCAAAGGGUGUCUGAAAUCAGCUCAGCCACAGUUGGUUUCCAACGGUUCUUCAGGACAUGGAGGCCACUACGUAACUGUUGCAAUGAAUGAUUCUUUUGCCUUUCCACCUGAUGUUGACAAUCUGACCUGUGCGGUACUGAAAACAACUUGCACU